CAAGAUGGCGCUUGUAGGACG
rnacentral:misc_RNA from 1 species